rnacentral:rRNA from 1 species
UACGGAGGGUGCAAGCGUUGUCCGGAUUUAUUGGGUUUAAAGGGUGCGUAGGCGGUUUAUUAAGUCAGUGGUGAAAGACGGUCGCUCAACGAUUGCAGUGCCAUUGAUACUGAUAGACUUGAAUACAUUUGAGGUAGCUGGAAUGGAUAGUGUAGCGGUGAAAUGCAUAGAUAUUAUCCAGAACACCGAUUGCGAAGGCAGGUUACUAAGAUGUUAUUGACGCUGAUGCACGAAAGCAUGGGGAGCAAACAGG